rnacentral:rRNA from 1 species
GGUUAAGCGACUAAGCGUACACGGUGGAUGCCCUGGCAGUCAGAGGCGAUGAAGGACGUGCUAAUCUGCGAAAAGCGACGGCGAGGUGAUAUGAACCCUUGACCCGUCGAUGUCCGAAUGGGGAAACCCAGUGCAAUCCGUUGCACUAUCGUUAACUGAAUACAUAGGUUAACGAGGCGAACCGGGGGAACUGAAACAUCUAAGUACCCCGAGGAAAAGAAAUCAACCGAGAUUCCCCCAGUAGCGGCGAGCGAACGGGGAGCAGCCCGGAGUCUGAAUCAGCUUGUGUGUUAGUGGAACGGUCUGGAAAGUCCGACGGUACAGGGUGAUAGUCCCGUACACGAAAGCACACAUGCUGUGAACUCGAAGAGUAGGGCGGGACACGUGGUAUCCUGUCUGAAUAUGGGGGGACCAUCCUCCAAGGCUAAAUACUCCUGACUGACCGAUAGUGAACCAGUACCGUGAGGGAAAGGCGAAAAGAACCCCGGCGAGGGGAGUGAAAAAGAACCUGAAACCGUGUACGUACAAGCAGUGGGAGCCUCUUUUAUGGGGUGACUGCGUACCUUUUGUAUAAUGGGUCAGCGACUUAUAUUCUGUAGCAAGGUUAACCGUAUAGGGGAGCCGAAGGGAAACCGAGUCUUAACUGGGCGUUAAGUUGCAGGGUAUAGACCCGAAACCCGGUGAUCUAGCCAUGGGCAGGUUGAAGGUUGGGUAACACUAACUGGAGGACCGAACCGACUAAUGUUGAAAAAUUAGCGGAUGACCUGUGGCUGGGGGUGAAAGGCCAAUCAAACCGGGAGAUAGCUGGUUCUCCCCGAAAGCUAUUUAGGUAGCGCCUCGUGAACUCAUCUUCGGGGGUAGAGCACUGUUUCGGCUAGGGGGCCAUCCCGGCUUACCAACCCGAUGCAAACUACGAAUACCGAAGAAUGUUAUCACGGGAGACACACGGCGGGUGCUAACGUCCGUCGUGAAGAGGGAAACAACCCAGACCGCCAGCUAAGGUCCCAAAGUCAUGGUUAAGUGGGAAACGAUGUGGGAAGGCACAGACAGCCAGGAUGUUGGCUUAGAAGCAGCCAUCAUUUAAAGAAAGCGUAAUAGCUCACUGGUCGAGUCGGCCUGCGCGGAAGAUGUAACGGGGCUAAACCAUGCACCGAAGCUGCGGCAGCGACGCUUAUGCGUUGUUGGGUAGGGGAGCGUUCUGUAAGCCGUUGAAGGUGUGCUGUGAGGCAUGCUGGAGGUAUCAGAAGUGCGAAUGCUGACAUAAGUAACGAUAAAGCGGGUGAAAAGCCCGCUCGCCGGAAGACCAAGGGUUCCUGUCCAACGUUAAUCGGGGCAGGGUGAGUCGACCCCUAAGGCGAGGCCGAAAGGCGUAGUCGAUGGGAAACAGGUUAAUAUUCCUGUACUUGGUGUUACUGCGAAGGGGGGACGGAGAAGGCUAUGUUAGCCGGGCGACGGUUGUCCCGGUUUAAGCAUGUAGGCGGAGGUUCCAGGUAAAUCCGGUACCUUUUUAACGCUGAGGUGUGAUGACGAGGCACUACGGUGCUGAAGUAACAAAUGCCCUGCUUCCAGGAAAAGCCUCUAAGCAUCAGGUAACACGAAAUCGUACCCCAAACCGACACAGGUGGUCAGGUAGAGAAUACCAAGGCGCUUGAGAGAACUCGGGUGAAGGAACUAGGCAAAAUGGUGCCGUAACUUCGGGAGAAGGCACGCUGAUAUGUAGGUGAAGUCCCUGCGGAUGGAGCUGAAAUCAGUCGAAGAUACCAGCUGGCUGCAACUGUUUAUUAAAAACACAGCACUGUGCAAACACGAAAGUGGACGUAUACGGUGUGACGCCUGCCCGGUGCCGGAAGGUUAAUUGAUGGGGUUAGCGGCAACGCGAAGCUCUUGAUCGAAGCCCCGGUAAACGGCGGCCGUAACUAUAACGGUCCUAAGGUAGCGAAAUUCCUUGUCGGGUAAGUUCCGACCUGCACGAAUGGCGUAAUGAUGGCCAGGCUGUCUCCACCCGAGACUCAGUGAAAUUGAACUCGCUGUGAAGAUGCAGUGUACCCGCGGCAAGACGGAAAGACCCCGUGAACCUUUACUAUAGCUUGACACUGAACACUGGUCCUUGAUGUGUAGGAUAGGUGGGAGGCUUUGAAGCGUGGACGCCAGUCUGCGUGGAGCCGUCCUUGAAAUACCACCCUUUAAUGGCUGGUGUUCUAACGUGGACCCGUUACCCGGGUUGCGGACAGUGUCUGGUGGGUAGUUUGACUGGGGCGGUCUCCUCCCAAAGAGUAACGGAGGAGCACGAAGGUUAGCUAAUCCUGGUCGGACAUCAGGAGGUUAGUGCAAUGGCAUAAGCUAGCUUGACUGCGAGAGUGACGGCUCGAGCAGGUGCGAAAGCAGGUCAUAGUGAUCCGGUGGUUCUGAAUGGAAGGGCCAUCGCUCAACGGAUAAAAGGUACUCCGGGGAUAACAGGCUGAUACCGCCCAAGAGUUCAUAUCGACGGCGGUGUUUGGCACCUCGAUGUCGGCUCAUCACAUCCUGGGGCUGAAGUAGGUCCCAAGGGUAUGGCUGUUCGCCAUUUAAAGUGGUACGCGAGCUGGGUUUAGAACGUCGUGAGACAGUUCGGUCCCUAUCUGCCGUGGGCGCUGGAGAAUUGAGGGGGGCUGCUCCUAGUACGAGAGGACCGGAGUGGACGCAUCACUGGUGUUCGGGUUGUCAUGCCAAUGGCACUGCCCGGUAGCUAAAUGCGGAAGAGAUAAGUGCUGAAAGCAUCUAAGCACGAAACUUGCCCCGAGAUGAGUUCUCCCUGAGACUUUAAGUCUCCUGAAGGAACGUUGAAGACGACGACGUUGAUAGGUCGGGUGUGUAAGCGCAGCGAUGCGUUGAGCUAACCGAUACUAAUGAACCGUGAGGCUUAACCUU